rnacentral:rRNA from 1 species
GGAAUCUGGGAGGACCAUCUCCUAAGGCUAAAUACUCUCUAGUGACCGAUAGUGAACCAGUACCGUGAGGGAAAGGUGAAAAGCACCCCGGAAGGGGAGUGAAAUAGAACCUGAAACCGUGUGCUUACAAGUAGUCAGAGCCCGUUAAUGGGUGAUGGCGUGCCUUUUGUAGAAUGAACCGGCGAGUUACGAUUUGAUGCAAGGUUAAGCAGUAAAUGUGGAGCCGUAGCGAAAGCGAGUCUGAAUAGGGCGUUUAGUAUUUGGUCGUAGACCCGAAACCAGGUGAUCUACCCUUGGUCAGGUUGAAGUUCAGGUAACACUGAAUGGAGGGCCGAACCGACUUACGUUGAAAAGUGAGCGGAUGAACUGAGGGUAGCGGAGAAAUUCCAAUCGAACCUGGAGAUAGCUGGUUCUCUCCGAAAUAGCUUUAGGGCUAGCCUCAAGUGAUGAUUAUUGGAGGUAGAGCACUGUUUGGACGAGGGGCCCCUCUCGGGUUACCGAAUUCAGACAAACUCCGAAUGCCAAUUAAUUUAACUUGGGAGUCAGAACAUGGGUGAUAAGGUCCGUGUUCGAAAGGGAAACAGCCCAGACCACCAGCUAAGGUCCCAAAAUAUAUGUUAAGUGGAAAAGGAUGUGGCGUUGCCCAGACAACUAGGAUGUUGGCUUAGAAGCAGCCAUCAUUUAAAGAGUGCGUAAUAGCUCACUAGUCGAGUGACACUGCGCCGAAAAUGUACCGGGGCUAAACAUAUUACCGAAGCUGUGGAUUGUCCUUUGGACAAUGGUAGGAGAGCGUUCUAAGGGCGUUGAAGCAUGAUCGUAAGGACAUGUGGAGCGCUUAGAAGUGAGAAUGCCGGUGUGAGUAGCGAAAGACGGGUGAGAAUCCCGUCCACCGAUUGACUAAGGUUUCCAGAGGAAGGCUCGUCCGCUCUGGGUUAGUCGGGUCCUAAGCUGAGGCCGACAGGCGUAGGCGAUGGAUAACAGGUUGAUAUUCCUGUACCACCUAUAAUCGUUUUAAUCGAUGGGGGGACGCAGUAGGAUAGGCGAAGCGUGCGAUUGGAUUGCACGUCUAAGCAGUAAGGCUGAGUAUUAGGCAAAUCCGGUACUCGUUAAGGCUGAGCUGUGAUGGGGAGAAGACAUUGUGUCUUCGAGUCGUUGAUUUCACACUGCCGAGAAAAGCCUCUAGAUAGAAAAUAGGUGCCCGUACCGCAAACCGACACAGGUAGUCAAGAUGAGAAUUCUAAGGUGAGCGAGCGAACUCUCGUUAAGGAACUCGGCAAAAUGACCCCGUAACUUCGGGAGAAGGGGUGCUCUUUAGGGUUAACGCCCAGAAGAGCCGCAGUGAAUAGGCCCAAGCGACUGUUUAUCAAAAACACAGGUCUCUGCUAAACCGUAAGGUGAUGUAUAGGGGCUGACGCCUGCCCGGUGCUGGAAGGUUAAGAGGAGUGGUUAGCUUCUGCGAAGCUACGAAUCGAAGCCCCAGUAAACGGCGGCCGUAACUAUAACGGUCCUAAGGUAGCGAAAUUCCUUGUCGGGUAAGUUCCGACCCGCACGAAAGGCGUAACGAUUUGGGCACUGUCUCAACGAGAGACUCGGUGAAAUCAUAGUACCUGUGAAGAUGCAGGUUACCCGCGACAGGACGGAAAGACCCCGUGGAGCUUUACUGUAGCCUGAUAUUGAAAUUCGGCACAGCUUGUACAGGAUAGGUAGGAGCCUUUGAAACGUGAGCGCUAGCUUACGUGGAGGCGCUGGUGGGAUACUACCCUAGCUGUGUUGGCUUUCUAACCCGCACCACUUAUCGUGGUGGGAGACAGUGUCAGGCGGGCAGUUUGACUGGGGCGGUCGCCUCCUAAAAGGUAACGGAGGCGCUCAAAGGUUCCCUCAGAAUGGUUGGAAAUCAUUCAUAGAGUGUAAAGGCAUAAGGGAGCUUGACUGCGAGACCUACAAGUCGAGCAGGGUCGAAAGACGGACUUAGUGAUCCGGUGGUUCCGCAUGGAAGGGCCAUCGCUCAACGGAUAAAAGCUACCCCGGGGAUAACAGGCUUAUCUCCCCCAAGAGUUCACAUCGACGGGGAGGUUUGGCACCUCGAUGUCGGCUCAUCGCAUCCUGGGGCUGUAGUCGGUCCCAAGGGUUGGGCUGUUCGCCCAUUAAAGCGGUACGCGAGCUGGGUUCAGAACGUCGUGAGACAGUUCGGUCCCUAUCCGUCGUGGGCGUAGGAAAUUUGAGAGGAGCUGUCCUUAGUACGAGAGGACCGGGAUGGACAUACCUCUGGUGUACCAGUUGUCGUGCCAACGGCAUAGCUGGGUAGCUAUGUGUGGACGGGAUAAGUGCUGAAAGCAUCUAAGCAUGAAGCCCCCCUCAAGAUGAGAUUUCCCAACUUCGGUUAUAAGAUCCCUCAAAGAUGAUGAGGUUAAUAGGUUCGAGGUGGAAGCAUGGUGACAUGUGGAGCUGACGAAUACUAAUCGAUCGAAGACUUAAUCAA